rnacentral:rRNA from 1 species
UACGAAGGGUGCAAGCGUUACUCGGAAUUACUGGGCGUAAAGCGUGCGUAGGCGGUUUGUUAAGUCCGUUGUGAAAGCCCUGGGCUCAACCUGGGAAUGGCAGUGGAUACUGGCGAGCUAGAGUGCGGUAGAGGGUAGUGGAAUUCCCGGUGUAGCAGUGAAAUGCGUAGAGAUCGGGAGGAACACCAGUGGCGAAGGCGGCUACCUGGACCAGCACUGACACUGAGGCACGAAAGCGUGGGGAGCAAACAGG